UUUUUUUCUUUUAUUUUUUAUUUUCUUCUAUUAUGUUCAUUGUGGCUUAAAUUUUCAUUUCUCCAAGACAUUUGGAUGUGCUAUCGAACCAUGAUUCCCACUUAGGAAACUAAAACAGAAACAGAGAGUGGACUAGUAAAUGAUCUCUUUCCAUGGGUAGUCUCUAAGCGAAAUGAUGUGUUGAGCUCAUGAUUGCUGAAGCUGAACUUACACUUUUGCAUCAUCCUCUUUGGCUGUUGUUUCGAUCCAAAUCUUUGACCAUUGGAGCCAUUCACAAGUCCAUUUAUUUCUAGGGUCCCAUCCCAACUCCCAAACCACUGUUGGCGUGGUGUACCACGUACAUGUACAACAAAUAAGAACCAAACUAAAUCAAAGUGAAGAUCAAAGAAGCCAUGCCCACACUCCUCCCUCAUGUUCCCCUUGAAAUUAACAUCGUGAUACGAGAAUAUACUGUUAAUAAAACGGUUUAGAGUUGUUUUACCAUUCACCAAUGCAAAGAAGAAACAUGUCAG
rnacentral:misc_RNA from 1 species